rnacentral:tRNA from 1 species
UGCGUCUUAGCUCAGCUGGGAGAGCAUCUGCCUUACAAGCAGAGGGUCAUAGGUUCGAGCCCUAUAGGUCCCA